UACAAGUUAUUCCCUUUGUAUCUUUAACAUUUUGUUCGUACUUCAGCAGCAAUAAAAUCUAGUUUCCUUUUGUUGCUAAUAUUAUGGCAACCACUGUGCACUGUGGGUUGUUCGGUGGAAAUCGCUGCCAGUUAGGCGGCAAUGAAUAGUUUGGCUUAAAGCGAUUUGCGGAAACCGAGAGCGAUGAAAGGAACCCGACCAAAGAGGGGACUUCUGCUGUAGUUUCGCAUUUCAGAGCUAACCGCAUUGCCGGCCCGAGUUCAUUUUCUGCAUUAUUAUUAUUUUUAUGGCCAGCAGCGGCAUCAGGACUGUGGCCCCGAAGGUCUCAGCUAAUUAAAUUCCACACAUUCGGUGUACAACUACGGGCAGCGUAUGGUGUCUGUGUGUUUGCAUACGGACAACUACAUAUAUGUUU